ACAUCGGCCCUUUUCAGGGCCAACAAAUCUUCAAAACGUGGAAAUCU
rfam:Cyphomyrmex costatus contig23834, whole genome shotgun sequence.